GCGGUCGCACAGCUGGCACUUGGCGGCGGCGGCGCGGCCCUGCUGGUAGCGCUGCACGAUGGCCUCCAGCAGCCGGUUGCGCUGGAAGCCGCGGAGGCCGCGCUGCUCCAGGGAGGCGCUCCGGUGGCACUGCGGGCAGGUAUCUUUUUCUUUCAUGUGACCUCUGUGCCAAGACUUGGCGUUGACAGCAGGGCUGUGUUUGGGCUACCUCCACCCAGAAACCUCAGCCAUGCAAGAAAUGUUCUCAAAUACCAUUGAUUUCACAGCUGCCUCAUGCUACUACACUGUAAGAAAAAGCUGUGGGUGAAAUGCUGUUACCUUUGUAGUCUCCAUUCUCUGCUUUACCAUCUGUCAGCAGGGGAAGGGAUGUAUAAUAAAGACUUCCUGCAUCUGUAUAGGUGAAUCCAAAUCACAGUUUUCAAGUAUAUGUAGGAAACCACAAUCCUAAGGAAAUUAGGAAGGUACAGUAGCUUUUUAUUUAUUUUUAUUUUUUUUCUCCUGGACUUUUCUUUCUAUACCAGCCUUGUGUGUUAGAUGCCAGUGAUCGUAAUGUGUAAUGGUAAUAGCAACUCUGAGACAUAAAAACAGAACUGGGCAUAUCAGACAGGAAGGGGUGAAAACGAAUGGGUAAAACACCAAACCCUACCAGCACACCUUUACAAGUGCUUUUUAGCCAUGGCUGACAAGUUCCAGACUUCUAAGACAGUGAAUUUUAAAUUUCCAUUUUGACCAUUACUCCACACAGUUUACAUAAAAGUGUAAUAUUGUUUGCCCUUGGCUGCAGAGGAAGAAAGCAUCUCUGAAGUGCCACUGUGAUCAGUCAAACUGAACUUCCCUCCUCCUCUCCACAAGCCCGAUGUGGCCUCAGAGUGUAUAUCCAAAAUAGAUGACAUUGGGAGUGCAAGCCAAAAAAUCGAGCUGGUCUUCCCUGCCCUGUGAUGUGACCAUUAUCUUUUUCCACCUGCUUUAUAAGCUUGUCUCAAACGUCUGUGUCCACGAGAGCUGUCUCCGAGAGAAGGGAGAGCUGUGAGGGCUGGUGUCCCAGCUCAUCUGUCAAAGCAGUGCUGGCUUCUGUAUGAUUGCAGAGGGUGAGCACAGAAACAUGCAGCCACUCGGCACCAUUGGCUGAUGACCAAACAGGCGCCUACGAUUGCUCUACUAACUGCUCUGGGGGGUUUAGGUUGCAGAGCACAGGUUUUCCUCCUCCUGACAAAUGUUCAUCUAUCCAACGGCAGUGAUGAUGGGGGUGAGCAAUCAAGACACCGCUACCAUCUCUGCUGCUUCAGAGGCCAGAACAGAAACUGAUCUAAGCAUUGAAAACUGGCACCAAGCAUGAGUGAUCCCUGCAAACCCUGCUGACUAACUUUGGACACCCUUAGCUUAGCCAAGAAACAGAACCUACUGAUGCUAACUGAUGUUAACUGAUGUUAAUGGAGUUAUUCCUAAAGCUCUGCACAGCCCAAUCAGCCUGAUAGAAUCGGGCCUUUACUAUGUUCUGUAAUCAAGCCAUUCUUAUAACAGAGAUGAUCCCAUUGAUUUUUCCUCUUUUCAUGUUCAAAUGAGUCUUUAAUCUGUUAGAACUGUAACUGCAUAGAAUAACCUAGAAACCCUAUUCUGGCAGUCAUGGCUUUGAUCUUUAUUUUAAUACUUCAGUAUCACUAAUAUCAACCCCUUAAACUAUUUACCCUUUGUAAGAACUCAUUAGCAUCUCUUAUAUCCUCCCGGCAG